GGAAGGGUUGUAUUUAUUAGAUAAAGAACCAAUACUCUUGGUGACUCAUAAUAACUUUACGGAUCACAUUUAUGUGACAUAUCAUUCAAGUUUCUGACCUAUCAGCUUUAGACGGUAGGGUAUUGGCCUACCGUGGCUAUGACGGGUAACGGGGAAUUAGGGUUCGAUUCCGGAGAGGGAGCCUGAGAAACGGCUACCACAUCUAAGGUAGGCAGCAGGCGCGCAAAUUACCCAAUCCUGACACAGGGAGGUAGUGACAAGAAAUAACAAUACAGGGCCUAACGGUCUUGUAAUUGGAAUGAGUUAAGUAUAAACCCCUUUACAAGUAGCAAUUGGAGGGCAAGUCUGGUGCCAGCAGCCGCGGUAAUUCCAGCUCCAAUAGCGUAUAUUAAAGUUGUUGCAGUUAAGAAGCUCGUAGUUGGAUUUCUGUUAAUACUUAUAUACAAUACCACGGUAUUUAUAUAACAUUAACAUAAUUCACAUUACUUGUUUAAAGUAUGUGAAACUUUACUUUGAGAAAAUUAGGGUGCUUAAAGCAGGCUAUUGCCUUGAAUACUCCAGCAUGGAAUCAUAUUAAAGAUUUUUAUCUUUCUUAUUGGUUCUAGGAUAAAAAUAAUGAUUAAUAGGGACAGUUGGGGGCAUUUGUAUUUAACAGUCAGAGGUGAAAUUCUUAGAUUUGUUAAAGACAAACUACUGCGAAAGCAUUUGCCAAGGAUGUUUUCAUUAAUCAAGAACGAAAGUUAGGGGAUCGAAGACGAUCAGAUACCGUCGUAGUCUUAACCAUAAACUAUGCCGACUAGAGAUUGGAGGUUGUUCCUUACUCCUU
rnacentral:rRNA from 1 species